CCUACGGGAGGCAGCAGUGGGGAAUAUUGGGCAAUGGGCGCAAGCCUGACCCAGCAACGCCGCGUGAAGGAAGAAGGCUUUCGGGUUGUAAACUUCUUUUCUCAGGGACGAAGCAAGUGACGGUACCUGAGGAAUAAGCCACGGCUAACUACGUGCCAGCAGCCGCGGUAAUACGUAGGUGGCAAGCGUUAUCCGGGUUUACUGGGUGUAAAGGGCGUGUAGGCGGGAAAGCAAGUCAGAUGUGAAAGGCAAGGGCUCAACCCUUGGACUGCUU
rnacentral:rRNA from 1 species